rnacentral:rRNA from 1 species
AGUGAACGCUGGCGGUAGGCCUAACACAUGCAAGUCGAACGGCAGCACAGAGGAGCUUGCUCCUUGGGUGGCGAGUGGCGGACGGGUGAGGAAUACAUCGGAAUCUACUCUGUCGUGGGGGAUAACGUAGGGAAACUUACGCUAAUACCGCAUACGACCUACGGGUGAAAGCAGGGGAUCUUCGGACCUUGCGCGAUUGAAUGAGCCGAUGUCGGAUUAGCUAGUUGGCGGGGUAAAGGCCCACCAAGGCAACGAUCCGUAGCUGGUCUGAGAGGAUGAUCAGCCAAACUGGAACUGAGACACGGUCCAGACUCCUACGGGAGGCAGCAGUGGGGAAUAUUGGACAAUGGGCGCAAGCCUGAUCCAGCCAUACCGCGUGGGUGAAGAAGGCCUUCGGGUUGUAAAGCCCUUUUGUUGGGAGAGAAAUCCAGCUGGCUAAUACCCGGUUGGGAUGACGGUACCCAAAGAAUAAGCACCGGCUAACUUCGUGCCAGCCGCCGCCGUAA